UACAGAGGUCUCAAGCGUUGUUCGGAUUCAUUGGGCGUAAAGGGUGUGUAGGUGGCGCGCUAAGUCGGAUGUGAAAUUUCGGAGCUUAACUCCGAAACUGCAUUCGAUACUGCGGUGCUUGAGGACUGGAGAGGAGACUGGAAUUCAUGGUGUAGCAGUGAAAUGCGCAGAUAUCAGGAAGAACACCGACGGCGAAGGCAGCUCGCUGGGACGGUACUGACGCUGAGGCGCGAAAGCGUGGGGAGCGAACAGG
rnacentral:rRNA from 1 species